GGAAGAUGGACAGAGCCUUGUAGCUCUGUGCUACUUAAACACUUAGUGGGAGAAUGCCACAAUGAAUUGGAUCCUUUGACCGUGCCUCUUUUUAACCCACUUUGCCAAAGGCAAAGCCUCUUUUUCAUCAGUAUAGCACCUUCAAUGUGUAGGAUAUGAGUCCUGUCAUGAAUUCAUACUUGAAGAGCUGUAUAUUGGCCCAUAUACAUUUGUGCUCUCAGUCAGAAGAGUAAUCAGGAAAAUGCAUUUGUUGCACUAGAAAAAUGAGGACAUCAGAAACACCAGCA